CUCAGAUCGGACGAGAUUACCCGCUGAAUUUAAGCAUAUUACUAAGCGGAGGAAAAGAAACUAACAAGGAUUCCCUCAGUAACGGCGAGUGAAGCGGGAUGAGCCCAGCACCGAAUCCCCCGGCCUGUCGUCGGCGGGAAAUGUGGUGUAUGGGACGCCAACUGUCGUCCGCGCUGGUGUCCGAAGUCCUCCUGAUCGGGGCCUCUCCCAGAGUGGGUGUCAGGCCUUUACUGGUCACCGGCCGGUCGGCUGCGAGCGUCUCA
rnacentral:rRNA from 1 species